rnacentral:ncRNA from 1 species
GUUUUUCACCAGGGGUGCUUUGUCCUGACAAAGCUGAGACUUAACCCUUAUAACCUGCUCUGGAUAAUGCCUGCGGAGGGAGUGUGAAGAUGAAGCCCU